GAGUUUGAUCGUGGCUCAGAGCGAACGCUGGCGGCAGGCUUAACACAUGCAAGUCGAGCGGGCCCUUCGGGGUCAGCGGCGGACGGGUGGGUAACGCGUGGGAACGUGCCUUCAGGUUCGGAAUAACCCUGGGAAACUAGGGCUAAUACCGGGAUACGCCCUUUUGGGGAAAGGUUUACUGCCGGAAGAUCGGCCCGCGUCUGAUUAGCUAGUUGGUGGGGUAAUGGCCUACCAAGGCGACGAUCAGUAGCUGGUCUGAGAGGAUGAUCAGCCACACUGGGACUGAGACACGGCCCAGACUCCUACGGGAGGCAGCAGUGGGGAAUAUUGGACAAUGGGCGCAAGCCUGAUCCAGCCAUGCCGCGUGAGUGAUGAAGGCCUUAGGGUUGUAAAGCUCUUUUAUCCGGGACGAUAAUGACGGUACCGGAGGAAUAAGCCCCGGCUAACUUCGUGCCAGCCGCCGCAGUAAC
rnacentral:rRNA from 1 species